GACAGAGGGGGCAAGCGUUGCUCGGAAUCACUGGGCGUAAAGGGCGCGUAGGCGGGAUGGCAAGUCGGUCGUGAAAUCCUUCGGCUCAACCGAAGAACGUCGGCCGAUACUGCCAUUCUUGAGGGAUGCAGAGGAGACUGGAAUUCCCGGUGUAGCGGUGAAAUGUGUAGAGAUCGGGAGGAACACCGGUGGCGAAGGCGGGUCUCUGGAACGCAACUGACGCUGAGACGCGAAAGCGUGGGGAGCAAACAGG
rnacentral:rRNA from 1 species